AUGAACGCUGGCGGCGUGCCUCAUACAUGCCAGUCGAGCGCACAGACGAGGAGCUUGCUCCUCUGACGUUAGCGGCGGACGGGUGAGUAACACGUGGAUAACCUACCUAUAAGACUGGGAUAACUUCGGGAAACCGGAGCUAAUACCGGAUAAUAUAUUGAACCGCAUGGUUCCAUAGUGAAAGACGGUUUUGCUGUCACUUAUAGAUGGAUCCGCGCCGCAUUAGCUAGUUGGUAAGGUAACGGCCUACCAAGGCAACGAUGCGUAGCCGACCUGAGAGGGUGAUCGGCCACACUGGAACUGAGACACGGUCCAGACUCCUACGGGAGGCAGCAGUAGGGAAUCUUCCGCAAUGGGCGAAAGCCUGACGGAGAAACGCCGCGUGAGUGAUGAAGGUCUUCGGAUCGUAAAACUCUGUUAUUAGGGAAGAACAAAUGUGUAAGUAACUAUGCACGUCUUGACGGUACCUAAUCAGAAAGCAACGGCUAACUACGUG
rnacentral:rRNA from 1 species